rnacentral:lncRNA from 1 species
CAAAAUCCCACACUCACACCCCAAAAUCCCCAAAAUGGACCCAAAUUGAGGGGUGAGGAACCCAAAAUCCCAGGAAUUUACCCCAAAAUCCCACACUCAGAUCCUAAAAUCUCAAUAAUGACCACAAAAUUCCAGGAAUUCAGCCCAAAAUCCCACACUCAGACCCCAAAAUCUCAAUAAUGACCCCAAAUUCAGGAGAAAAGACCCCAAAAUCCCAGGAAUUCACCCCAAAAUCCCACACUCAGACCCUGAAAUACCGAAAAUGGCCCCAAAUUCAAGAGAAAAGACCCCAAAAUCCCAGGAAUUUACAGCAAAAUCCCACUAAGAGGCCCGAAAUUCCCAGGAAUUCAGCCCAAAAUCCCACACUCACACCCCCAAAUCCCCCAAAUGGCCCCAAAAUCCCAGGAAUUCUGCCCAAAAUCCCACACUCACAACCCAAAAUCCCAGGAAUUGAGCCCCAAAUCCCAGGACUUUACCCCAAAAUCCCACACUGAGAACCCAAAUUCCAAAAAUUAUCCCAAAAUUGAGGGAAAAGGACCCAAAAUCCCAGGAAUUCACCCCAAAAUCCCACACUCAGACCCCAAAAUCCCCAAAAUGGCCCCAAAGUCAGGAGAAAAGACCCCAAAAUCCCAGGAAUUUACACCAAAAUCCAACACUCAGACCCCAAAAUCCCCAAAAUGGACCCAAAUUGAGGGGUGAGGAACCCAAAAUCCCAGGAAUUCACCCCAAAAUCCCACACUCUGACGCCAAAAUCCCCAAAAUGGCCCCAAAUUCAGGAGAAAAGACCCCAAAAUCCCAGGAAUUUACAGCAAAAUUCCACUAAGAGAACCGAAAUUCCCAGGAAUUCACCCCAAAAUCCCACACUCAGACCCCAAAAUCCCAAUAAUGACCCCAAAAUCCCAGGAAUUCACCCCAAAAUCCCAGGAAUUCAGCCCAAAAUGCCACACUCAGACCCCAAAAUCCCUGGAAUUCACCCCAAAAUCCCACACUCACACCCCAAAAUCCCAAUAAUUACCCCAAAAUUGAGGAGAAAGGACCCCAAAAUCCCAGGAAUUCAACCCAAAAUCCCACACUCACACCCCAAAAUCCCAAAAAUUAUCACAGAAUUGAGGAGAAAGGACCCCAAAAUCCCAGGAAUUUACACUAAAAUCCCACUUAGAGGCCCGAAAUUCCCAGGGAUUCAUCCCAAAAUCCCACACUCACACCCCAAAAUCCCCAAAAUGGCCCCAAAUUCAGGAGAAAAGACCCCAAAAUCCCAGGAAUUCAGCCCAAAAUCCCACACUCACACCCC